GACGAACGCUGGCGGCGUGCCUAAUACAUGCAAGUCGAGCGCUGACGGUUGGUACUUGUACCCACUGGAUGAGCAGCGAACGGGUGAGUAACGCGUGGGGAAUCUGCCUCUGAGCGGGGGACAACAUUUGGAAACGAAUGCUAAUACCGCAUAAAAACUUUAAACACAAGUUUCAAGUUUGAAAGAUGCAAUUGCAUCACUCAAAGAUCAUCCCGCGUUGUAUUAGCUAGUUGGUGAGGUAAAGGCUCACCAAGGCGAUGAUACAUAGCCGACCUGAGAGGGUGAUCGGCCACAUUGGGAAUGAGACACGGCCCAAACUCCUGCGGGAGGGAGCAGGAGGGAAUCAUCGGAAAAGGACGAAAGUCUGACCGAGGAACGCCGGGUGAGGGGAGAAGGUUUUCGGAUCGUAAAACUCUGUUGGUAGAGAAGAACGUUGGUGAGAGUGGAAAGCUCAUCAAGUGACGGUAACUACCCAGAAAGGGACGGCUAACUACGUG
rnacentral:rRNA from 1 species